rnacentral:lncRNA from 1 species
AUCAUGGCUACUUCUCUAAAUCAGCAGACAGCAGCCUGAAGAUCACCCGUAAAUGUCUGCUGCACUGAGGGCUGUUUUGGCUAAUGGAAAAAGGACACCAAGUUGAAGAUCCAUCCAGCCUUUCUGCUUUCAGUGUCCUUGGAGCCAUCAGCAGCUGUGUCCCCACAAAGCCCUGACACUACUCUGUGUGGUACUACUGAGCCUCCUUAAUGUCCCUCCUUGCUGUGAAAUCUUAGUGCUUCAGCCUCUUCUUGAUGGGUAUCUCACCUUGCCCUUGAAGGAGAGCUUUGCUCAGAAAAUAGAGUCCUGGGAGGUAAGGUGUGGUCUUCACCCUCCAAUAGAACCCACCUAUACUUAAGGGUCUCCAUGUUGCAGGGUCUGCAGAUAUCAGUUAGACUGGGGUCCUGUCUGGGCCAGCAACGGGCCUCUUAGAAAUACCUUAUCACAGCUGACCUUAGGUUCACGACUGGGCUUCUCUAAGAGGCCUGAUUAAUUCAUGGUGCCCCGUCGCCCAUAGCCACCCCGAGACACGAGGAUUUACUGUACCAGUUUAUUGCCAAGCUGUAUUAGUUGAUAAGCAGGAAACUCCAGACCAUCUGUUUAAAAAUAAAAAGUUAACAGCGGCACAGCCCUAGAGCUCACACUUUGUACUGCUGCAUAGUAAACGAGCCCACUGGGUGCAGUGACCUCGGCUGAGGUGGCCACAGGCUUGUCCUCCACCCCUCUCACCCGGG